rnacentral:rRNA from 1 species
UACGUAGGGGGCUAGCGUUGUCCGGAAUCAUUGGGCGUAAAGAGCGUGUAGGCGGUCCGGUAAGUCCGCUGUGAAAGUCGGGGGCUCAACCCUCGAAUGCCGGUGGAUACUGUCGGGCUAGAGUGCGGAAGAGGCGAGUGGAAUUCCUGGUGUAGCGGUGAAAUGCGCAGAUAUCAGGAGGAACACCAAUGGCGAAGGCGGCUCUCUGGGACGGUACUGACGCUGAGACGCGAAAGCGUGGGGAGCGAACAGG